rnacentral:rRNA from 1 species
UUGACGGAGAGUUUGAUCCUGGCUCAGGACGAACGCUGGCGGCGUGCUUAAUACAUGCAAGUCGAACGAUCCCGGGACUUCGGUCCCAAUGGGAGAGUGGCGAACGGGUGCGUAACACGUGAGAAACCUGUCCCGGAGAUGGGAAUAGCCCAGGGAAACCUGGAUUAAUACCCAAUACCCUGAGAGCGUCGCAUGGCGCACUUAGGAAAGGUUCCGGCGCUCCGGGAGGGUCUCGCGGCCUAUCAGCUAGUUGGUGAGGUAAAGGCUCACCAAGGCAUCGACGGGUAGCUGGUCUGAGAGGACGAUCAGCCACACUGGGACUGAGACACGGCCCAGACUCCUACGGGAGGCAGCAGUAGGGAAUCUUGCGCAAUGGGCGAAAGCCUGACGCAGCAACGCCGCGUGGGGGAUGAAUGCCUUCGGGUUGUAAACCCCUUUCAGCAGGGACGAAAAUGACGGUACCUGCAGAAGAAGC